rnacentral:rRNA from 1 species
GAUGAACGCUGGCGGCGUGCCUAAUACACGCAAGUCGAGCGAACAGACGAGGUGCUUGCUCCUCUGACGUUAGCGGCGGACGGGUGAGUAACACGUGGAUAACCUACCUAUAAGCCUGGGAUAACUUCGGGAAACCGGAGCUAAUACCGGAUAAUAUCUUGAAACGCAUGGUUUAAUAGUGAAAGACGGUUUUGCUGUCACUUAUAGAUGGAUCCGCGCCGCAUUAGCUAGUUGGUAAGGUAACGGCUUACCAAGGCAACGAUGCGUAGCCGACCUGAGAGGGUGUUCGGCCACACUGGAACUGAGACACGGUCCAGACUCCUACGGGAGGCAGCAUUGGGGAAUCUUCCGCAAGGGGCGAAAGCCUGACGGAGCAACGCCGCGUGAGUGAUGAAGGUCUUCGGAUCGUAAAACUCGGUUAUUAGGGAAGAACAAAUGUGGAAGUAACUAUGCACGUCUUGACGGUACCUAAUCAGAAAGCCACGGCUAACUACGUG